rnacentral:rRNA from 1 species
AUGGUCUUUCCAGCUGUAGCCUGCUCUUCCAACUCACGGUCGCCCCUCUUUCCAAGUACUGAAGCUGGCUGUUCUGGAACCUUUCCCAACUUCUUUGCACCCUUCUGCUUCUUUGGAAUCACAUGUCUAUCCGAGGAGCCAAUUGCCGUGGUCGUCCUGACCUGCUGUAGCUCAUGCCCCAAUGGUGCAGCCCCCACGAAAGUUGGAGUGGAGGCGGCAGCCCGCCAUCUGCUGGUUGUGCCACCGGUUCAAAACCCGGCGGGUACAGAGGGUUUUCCUCAUGAUCAUCCUUGGUUGACUGUACCUGUUCCGACCGCUUCAGAGCGUCCGGUGGAGUUUGGUACUUAUCAGCAGCUGGACUCUGCAGCAGGCUAG